UGGGAAUCUUGGACAAUGGGGGCAACCCUGAUCCAGCCAUGCCGCGUGAGUGAUGAAGGCCUUAGGGUCGUAAAGCUCUUUCGCCUGUGAAGAUAAUGACGGUAGCAGGUAAAGAAACCCCGGCUAACUCCGUGCCAGCAGCCGCGGUAAUACGGAGGGGGUUAGCGUUGUUCGGAAUUACUGGGCGUAAAGCGCACGUAGGCGGACCAGAAAGUUGGGGGUGAAAUCCCGGGGGCUCAACCCCGGAACUGCCUCCAAAACUAUUGGUCUAGAGUUCGAGAGAGGUGAGUGGAAUUCCAAGUGUAGAGGUGAAAUUCGUAGAUAUUUGGAGGAACACCAGUGGCGAAGGCGGCUCACUGGCUCGAUACUGACGCUGAGGUGCGAAAGUGUGGGGAGCAAAACAGGAUUAGAUACCCUGGUAGUCCACACCGUAAAACGAUGAAUGCCAGUCGUCGGGUAGCAUGCUAUUCGGUGACACACCUAACGGAUUAAGCAUU
rnacentral:rRNA from 1 species